rnacentral:tRNA from 1 species
AUUUAAAUAGUUUAAUAGUAAAAACACUAGUCUGUGGAAUUAGAGAUAUAAGUUUUAUUUUAAAUU